rnacentral:lncRNA from 1 species
AGAGCCGUGGGUGAGGGUUGGCUGCUGGAGGGACCAGGAAGCCAAAACCAGCUGUGGAAGGGACUGUGGAGCCUAGAGGCCAGCUGAGGCACACUUUGGCAUGGGCAGAUGAGGCACCUAGAGACUAGAGGUCCCAGGCUAGCUGCUGGGCAGGGAGGGGGUCCAAGGCCUGUAGCUGGAGAGCCUACAGCAUACAUGUGCAUGCAUGAGCACCAGCAACUAGUGUAGGCCUGUGGGUCUCAGGAGCUCUUAUGCUGCAGGUGUUAGCAGCUAGGGAGCUCUGGGUAAUCAGGGAUGGCUGCUGGACAGGCUGCAUGCCUACAACCAGUUCCUGGAGGAAUCCAUAUUGUGUGCAUCUUGGAAAUUUUGCAGCAAAACCUGCAUAGGUGAGGACCCUAGAAAAUAAGCAUAAGAACUAUUACCAAAAUCAAGGUCUCUUCUGUUGAAAACACCCUGUGUCUCAGCUUGCUUCAGCUAAACUGUGAGGUGUCUGCUUUCAUGCUUCAGGCAAUUGCAGUUGUCACAAAAUGACUCAAGAUGAUGUUGGCCUUUAAGAUAUUGGAGAACUUUAGCCGCUUUCUGUAAUGCUUCAAUUUGUGACAAGAAAUGAACUCAAAGUCAAUUUGUAAUGCGGAACACGGGGUUAAUCACUGUUUAACUGAUGGACUGGUUCACACAAGAAAAACAGCAUACUUGAAGAAACAAGGUAACUAAUGACUUUUAGAAAGACUAGACUUCUCCUAUUGGGUACUGAUUGGCAGAAAUAAGGCUGGUUCAAUUCUGAGAGAGCACUAAAAGCUUCCCCUUAGAAAUUAGGAAGUUGAAUUGUAUUUUCUGGGGGUUCAUGUACAAGCUGAAAGCAGUUCUAUAAAUGAGCUUUGCAUAAUCAGAAAGGGAAAACAAGACAGACAAUAUGUCAGCAUGAAAAAAAUUAAUCAGUCCUAAAAAACAGAGCAUCUGCAGAAGAAGACAAGUAAGAAACUUGCCCAUGUCCUUUUCCAGACCUGCUCCUGGUUGUAGUACGUUGAUGCCUAAGCACAAAGAAAUCCAUGUAAGGCACAAAUCAAUCUGUUGUCCCAGAGGAAAUACUGCCUUUUCCACCUAGAUGGGGAAGCUUUAUCAGGAUUGAUGCUCCAGGCUGCUAAUCUUGAUAACCUGACUCAUCUGUCCAUCACUAGCUAGGCCUGCACUGGCCAUAAAUACUCUUGUUAUUAACUGCUUGUGCCACAAAUCUUCCACCCCAGCUAGUAGUGCUGCUCUGCUUUACUAUGCCACCACUGACAGGUGGUCCCAGCUGGCUCCUUAGAUGGAUGGUACUGCACACACUGAAAGCCACUCAGACUCUGCAGGCCAACCCUCUUCUGUGGCUUCUUCUACCAGGUAAGU